GCGCGGCCGCAGGCUCGUCCGCUGCAGGAGCCGUGAUAUAUGUCUCGCUCCCUUUCGCUUACAGAAAGGAUUUCUUCCGACAGACGUGACCCCAGAAGGCUGCCGAGGGAGACUUUAGGACAAGAGGCGUUGUUUUUGUGAGAAUGAAUUUUUAUACUUUACCCCGACCCCACCCCCUACCCCCCGCCCAGGUAAAUCCAAGUAAAUGAUUUUCUGAAGGUCGGUCUCCCAGAAAGCGUUUAGGCUCUGGUUUUUUGUUUUGUUUUUAUUUUCGUGUUUUCCCAGUUAGGGAAGGAAGAGGAGCCUGUGCAGAGUUGAAGUGGGGUGGAGAGGUGCCUUGUAAAGUAUGGUUUCCAGAGAUGGUGAGACCUCGUAGCUAAGCGUUGUUUCCUCUGCACGUAACUUUUCAGCGUGGCCGCAUUUGGAAAAGGCUGAAGGUAGAAAACUCUGGAAUGGAGAGGCUGGCGACUGGAGCAGGAUCCAGGGGCUUUAAAUUUUAACCUGAGUGCGAUCGAAUGCGCGACUCCCAGAAGAGAUAGCCAGGCGUCCGCCCGGCCGCUCAACCCCUGCCAGGACUCGGAAUGCCUUGCUUUUGGUUCUUUUCGUGAGUUCCGACCAAAUGUUUAAGUGGACUGGGUUUUGCAGAAGCUUAUUUGUAAGCACUGACGGAAAUGGGUUGUGGGCAUUUGAUUUCCUUUGAUUCCAACGUUUUGAAAUAAUGUUUCUCGGAUUUGCUAUUCGAAGCAAUUUUCUAAAAACUCAUAUCUUAUUUGCUAAAAAUAAACUCUUUGGCUCAGUUUGUGUCCAGGCUGUGUACGGCCUCCAACCCUGAGCCCCGAGGAGAUCGAGCCCUGGCG
rnacentral:lncRNA from 1 species